AGAGCGAACGCUGGCGGCAGGCUUAACACAUGCAAGUCGAGCGGAUGUAGCAAUACAUCAGCGGCAGACGGGUGAGUAACACGUGGGAACGUACCUUUUGGUUCGGAACAACACAGGGAAACUUGUGCUAAUACCGGAUAAGCCCUUACGGGGAAAGAUUUAUCGCCGAAAGAUCGGCCCGCGUCUGAUUAGCUAGUCGGUGAGGUAAUGGCUCACCAAGGCGACGAUCAGUAGCUGGUCUGAGAGGAUGAUCAGCCACAUUGGGACUGAGACACGGCCCAAACUCCUACGGGAGGCAGCAGUGGGGAAUAUUGGACAAUGGGCGUAAGCCUGAUCCAGCCAUGCCGCGUGAGUGAUGAAGGCCUAGGGUUGUAAAGCUCUUUUGUGCGGGAAGAUAAUGACGGUACCGUAAGAAUAAGCCCCGGCUAACUCGCGCCAGCAGCCGC
rnacentral:rRNA from 1 species